AUUGGAACACAUUUAAAGAUUCAUCCCAAGGUGCAAGAUUAAAGGAGCUACCUAUGUGAGCAUGAAGUUUAGCCGCUUCAAAAAGCUGGGACUUGGCUUUGACAUGCUUAUGAAGGAUAGGGACAUAGGCUAGUAAAACAUAUGUCAAGAUAGAACUACUAUGUGUGUAAACUUUUGUGUACAUUAUCUUCGUGUAUUCAAUAGAGUUCCCAUGGUUCAAUCGUUACGACACCAUGAAAUUCGAAUAUUCGGAAUGUGUAAUGUACUAAUGUGAAAUUCAAUCGUUACGACAUUUCAU